AGCCGGACCCGGAGCUGGAGCCGGAGUCAGAGCCGGAGCCGCAGCCGGCCGGCGCCACCGUCGCCAUGUUCGGAGUACCUCUCUCGGUAAUGAUGUCGGAGGCGUCUAAAAAGAAAAAGAGGCUGGGCGGCGCCGGCGCGAGGGACAGGCCGGGGUCGCCGGACCAGGGCCGGCUGGACCGGUCCUGGAGGACAGCCUGCGGGCUCGUGCCGCGACUACUGAGACAGGCGGACAGGGUCACCACAGGUCACACACAGCAGUGCCCGUCCGUGGAGAUGGCGGAGCUCCAGGCAGCUGCCGCCAGCCUGGCUCGGCUGGAGAUCGAAGCUGCCUCUUCACCAGCCUCCGUCUCCUCCCCGGAGACCGGCAGCGCGGCGACGCAGCCGACUCACGCAGGAAAUACGGCUUUGUCUGCCUGGAGACGGAGCGUUGUCUCCCGUGGAGAGCGCUGAUCCUCCCAGAGACGGGUCCACAGUCUGCGAGGGGGACCCCUGCAUCUUCCGGAAACGGUUCUAUGUCUCUCGGAGAAAAGUGUCAAGCGGAGGAGACGGUGGAGACGCAGGCCGGUCCGGAAGCCGUCGGGAGCCAGGAGAGCGACUGGUUAUCGGAGACACUGGAGGAGGACUGGUUCCUCUGCACCGAGCGCGAGGAGCGGGAACGGGAGCAGGAGCAGGAGCGGCAGAGGCUGCUGCAGAUGACGCCGGCCGCGGCCGAGUGAUGUUCGCCAUCAGCAGGCUGGCAGACAGUGCGGCACGGGAUCGAGUGGACGGCAGAAAGCCUGCCGCGGCUGUCCGUACCGAAGAAGACGAGCCGCAUGGGUAGUUGUGCGCUUGGACAAACAUGCAGACACUUAGGCGGGAUUAUAAAUGCAUUAGCGAUCAUACCAAAUGUGGCUCAAUGUAGGGUCCGUAGUGGCAAUGAUGUCACCGCCAAAGGUUUCUCGAACCGUGUGUCGGUGACUGAAUAAGUUUUUUAGGUCGUGCUGGAAUUGUUAAA